rnacentral:rRNA from 1 species
CGGCGGACGGGUGAGUAACGCGUGGGUAACCUGCCUCAUACAGGGGGAUAACAGUUGGAAACGGCUGCUAAUACCGCAUAAGCGCACAGUACCGCAUGGUACGGUGUGAAAAACUCCGGUGGUAUGAGAUGGACCCGCGUCUGAUUAGGUAGUUGGUGGGGUAACGGCUCACCAAGGCGACGAUCAGUAGCCGGCUUGAGAGAGUGAACGGCCACAUUGGGACUGAGACACGGCCCAA